GAUGAAGAACGUAGUGAAAUGCGAUACGUAAUGUGAAUUGCAGAAUUCAGUGAAUCAUCGAAUCUUUGAACGCAUAUUGCGCUCUUUGGUAUUCAGAAGAGCAUGCUUGUUUGAGUAUCAGUAAACACCUCAACCUCUUCUUGAUUUUUCAAAAGGAGGGUGGACUUGAGCUAUCCCAACAACCUUUACCGGUCGGCGGGCGGCUUGAAAUGCAGGUGCAGCUGGACUUUUAUCUGAGCUAAAAGCAUAUCUAUUUAGUCCUCGUCAAACAGGAUUAUUACUUUUGCUGCAGCUAACAUAAAGGAUAAUUGUCCUCUUUGCUGACUGAUGCAGGAUUUUACGACACUUUAUGUGUUGUUCAACUCGAUCUCAAAUCAAGUAAGACUACCCGCUGAACUUAAGCAUAUCAAUAAGCGGAGGA
rnacentral:misc_RNA from 1 species